rnacentral:tRNA from 1 species
GGAGAGGUCGCAUAGUGGCCUAGUGCGCUCGCUUGGAAAGCGAGUAGACGUGAAAACGUCUCGGGAGUUCGAAUCUCCCCCUCUCCGCCA